CACCGAUUAUUACCGAGCGGGGCCGGUACCGACCGAGAGUCCACACGGUGGAAAAUGUCCAACGGUCGUCACGGCGGACGGUUUUAAAUGAUGCCGCUGUCAUGGCAACCGGUGCCGGUGCCGCCCUGACGAGUCUGCGACGAAUAAAUCCGUCAAAACAUUGCAGGUUACUGACAAUUAGAGAGCAACAGUCGUCUAAAAUCAGUCCAACCUGUUGAUGGUGGAGAGAAUUACCUUCUAUACCCUGGACAAUACACACAACCUGGCAUAUGAGGCUGCAGACAUUCAUCAAGUGGGCUGGCUGGAGAUGCUUUGACGGUGAUCUCUGCCACGGGAUCAGAUUCUCAGGCACGCAGAGAUCAAAUGGAUUUCUCUCCUCAAUAAUCAAAACCAGCGCGACAUCCUUGUUAGGUUGUUUUUGAUGGCCAAAUAAUUU